rnacentral:rRNA from 1 species
UACGGAAGGUCCUGGCGUUAUCCGGAUUUAUUGGGUUUAAAGGGAGCGCAGGCUGAGGCUUAAGCGUGACGUGAAAUGUAGAUGCUCAACAUCUGAACUGCGUCGCGAACUGGGUUUCUUGAGUGAGUACGACGUGGACGGAAUUCGUGGUGUAGCGGUGAAAUGCUUAGAUAUCACGAAGAACCCCGAUUGCGAAGGCAGUCCACGAGUCCUUUACUGACGCUAAUGCUCGAAGGUGCGGGUAUCGAAC